rnacentral:lncRNA from 1 species
CCAGGGUGCUCCAAACUAUCUGAGGAUAACCUCCAAUGGUAAUUAAAACCUGGGACGCAAUCUCACUCUUCUCCGCAAGUGGAAAAUGAACAAUUUGAAAGCAGACGACCAAAGGAAUCACUCGGAGAAGUCAAAGAGAGAGCCUGAAAAGCCCCAAAGAGGCUUGGCUUAUAAUGAGCAGCUGAAAGAGUUCCAGUGAUAUUUCAUCCAUCUUUUAAAAAAAAAUAGAAAGAAAGAAAACUUUAAGAUUAUUUUGACAGGGUGGAGUUUUGACUGAAGUUGGGGGAAGCCAAAAGUGUUGCUUUAAAAUGUAAUUAUGUGAACUUUCAAUUAUCAUCCUCCCUUUCAAAAGUCUCUCAAUCCGGCAGGCAAUUCGUUGACAUGAAAGAGGGCGGGAGGCCCACGCGGGGUGUAGUGUGAUUUCUUCCCAGGGACAGACUCGCUCGCUUGCGGCGCUGUUUUCAGCGAACUUGGACAUGAGGGGACGAGGGGUGGGGACAGUCAUUUGGACUCGCAACGGAAUCUAGAUGUUUUCUCCCCAGCCGCACCCUUAUCCAUACCUUGACACCUAAGGUUUUUCACCUUGCGGGGACCUGAGAGACCCAGUGGGACAUUUGAAAUGUCAUGGUUUAGAGCCAGAUGCCAGUCCCUGAGGACAGACCUGAGCCGGAAGCGCUGGCCCAGCACUUAGGACAUUCUUUUCUUCUCAGUCACACUGGGGGGAGCUGAAGUGUGUGAAGCCACCAGCCAACCGGACCGGGUCCUGCUGGGCGCGUGCAGGUUCGGUUCGCAGCCCGUCCCUCCAGCCUGCUCCUCUCCUCUCCUCUCGUGCUGCCUGACCACGUUCUGCUGAAUUAAUGACUUCAGGCCGUCAAUCACCUGGCUCCAUUCUUUAAAUUCAUCCGGCGAGUUGAGAUUCUGACACAUUCACUAAAUGCUCAGCGAGGAUGAAAAUGUAAAGCUUUAGCCAUUAGCCCAUGGAGCCCGCCAGCAUCCUAACAGCUUGCUUUUGGAGAGCCCUUAACCAUGCACUCCAGCGGGAGUGACAUUAUCCACAAAUUCUGGCAGCUGUGGGUUGUGCUGUUGGGGUGCCCAUUUGGCAGAUAAGAUGGUGGGGGUCCAGUGGGUCAGGGGACUUGUCCAGGGACCCCAGGGUUCUUAAGCCAGAGCCAGACUAGCUCUUCCCAGGGCUGCCCCCAUGGCCAGGGUCUGGGCCUCUCUCUCCACCACUCCCUGCAGCAGACUCCCCCCCCCCCCCCCCCCCCACGCCACUGUCAUGUCUCUUCUCUCCAAGGUGCUGCCCGAGCGGGCCUUCUGCUGCCCAAGUGAGCCUUUCCGUGAGAUUCUGCUUCUGGAAACCUUCUCUCCCAUGGCCCUUUGUGGCUCCUGGGGCUGUAGGGCCCGCCCCCUCCCUGUUCUGAUGUCUUGCCUUUAUCACCGUCGGCCUGCAUUCCAGCCACGCCAGGAUUCUUGAAGCUUCUUCCAGAUUUUUCAAACAGAAAUGGAUCUGACUGGUAACCAUGAGGUUGUGGGUUCGAUCCCUGGCCUCGCCCAGUGGGUUAAGGAUCUGGCGUUGUCAUGAGCUAUGGUAUAGAUUGCAGACAUGGCUUGGAUCCCUUUGCUGCAGCUGUAGCUCCAAUUAGACCCCUAGCCUAGGAACUUCCAUCUGCCGUGGGUGCGGCCCUAAAAAGCAAAAAAAAUUAAAAAACAGCGAACAGACAGACAAGUAGGGGAAAGAGACCGUAAAUGUAUGUGUCUAGAAUGUGUUGGGUGAUGUGCAGGGAGAUAAGCAGGGAAUGGGGGGGAGGGGGCUCGUUUAGAUCAGGGGUCCAGGAAGGCCGUGCAGAGAGUGGGGAGGAAGGUGAGGAGAGAGCAUCUAAGCAGAAGGAAGAAGAGGCUCAAACGCCGGUGAGGCUGUAGCCACACAGGGUGUCAGGUUUGCGGGAGGUGGAUGCGCUGGAGCUCAGCUGUAGGCGGGGAUCAGGUUGGGUAGAGAUGGGCUCAGAGGGAGGCGGGGCUGGGGCACGCAGAGCGGGGCAAGAACGUGCAGCUGGUGAUCUAGGGAACUUGCGGAUUUCCCGCGCGGGCAGGCCUGGUACCACCUGACUCGGGGCCUUAAGGACUCAGCCGUCACUCCCCUUGUGUUGCUGCUGCAGACAGAAUCUGCUCUCUUUCCUGCUGCCCUGGAAGCUCUGUGAGGACGGGGGCAGGGGCUGGCUCCAUCGCUGUUGUGCCCACCCCCCCUUGAGCUCAUCAUCCCUGCGUCCUAGAAGGUGCCUAAUAAACGUGUUAAGUGGCUCCCCGCCCAGCUUGCUUCCCCCAAGACUCCACAGCCAUUCCCAAUCAGAGGGGUCCCCUCCUGUGUGGCGUGACCCCUCCCUUGCAAAACGACCAGCCAGGAGGAAGCUCCGCACCCAGGCCUGGCAUGCGCUGGGCCGGUACAUCCAGGUCCCUGAGGGGCACGAGCAUGUUCUCUGCUCCUCACACCCCUCCUGGGCAUGGGGGUUACAAGUCAGGACAGACCCCGCGGCACACAGCUGAUGUCCCGUGGGCAGGAUACAUGUGGAACUGUCUCUCCUUCUCUCUCUCGAGCUAUCUGAGUUUCUCACCCUCUUGUCCACUCCUGAACAAACCUGGGGUCUUCUCUGCAGCACCCCACCCCACACUACUGUGGAUCAUGACCGAGAGUGUACCUGGCCUGCUGCUGGCGCUGCCGGGGCUUGGGUGAAGGGCUGCCCUGGGUACCGCGUACGCGUAUGGAUUCUGGGGGUUUGUUUGAAAGGAUGACCUUUUGUUGGUGGAGUAAUUUUAGUUUUAGCUGGCACCCAAGACAAAGCGGUCUUUCAACACACCCGCAGCCUAUAGGCAGCCAGGACUUUUUCAAUGAGUUGGCAGGAAAUUUGCCAAGUCGUUUGGGGCCUGUAAAUUAGGCCUUGUUUAAAAAUUUAGAUAAAGCCCAAUGUGAGAGAGAAAUGCUUUCAUAACAUUAAAUGUGAAUUACCCUGAAAACCCCUUUCAAGUUAAAUGGAACCGUUCUCGGGAAGCACAGAGACAUGAAAUGCCUCAAAUGUCAAAAGAGUUUUCAUUUAUUGUCCCAAGUGAAACGAAGGCGUUUUAUGUGGUUUAAUAGUUCAGAUGCACAUGUAAAUGGAAUUCAUUUGGAGAAUGCCGGGUCUGUUUCGGAAUCUAUUUUCACAAACCUGCCUGAUUUCGUUUCAUCUCCACAGUAACCCUGCAAGGGGUGGGUCCCACCGUCCCCGUUUCAGAGCUGAGGAGAGCCUCUCCUGUCAGUGUCAGCAGCAUUUUUGCCACUGCCGUGUCGAGCUUCCAUCAUUAAUUCGUAACAAGGCUGGAAGUGGUGUCAGAUCUUACCCAUUCGUCCUGAAGGCACUGGUCAUCGGACCAUCUGGAGGGAUCUCGUGGAAGAGCAGUGAGAGGUGUUGGGGUUGCCUUCUGUUUAUUUGUGAGUGUCUGCGUUGUGAGAAGCAUUGCUUCGUUUUCUGAGAGCCUUUUCCUUGCAUCGGUUUGCCUCAUCCACUGCUGCUCUCCACGGCAACCCCCCAUCUGGGUUGGGUGGUCCCUUUGAUGCAUGACGGUGUCACUUCCAAUGCGGUCUUAGUUGCAAAGAAUAGAAAUUUGAAGAGAAACUGGCUGAGAUGGUCAGGGUCCCCCAUGACCGAAACCAUCAAAGGCCAUGUGCAUUCCAGCACAGUCCCAUGCUGCAGCCUGGCUCUGGUGGCCCAGCCCUGCCGCAUCUUUGCCUCCAUGGCAGCCUUUUCCCUUCCUGCCCCCAGAUGGCUGCCACUGGCUCUGGGAUCCCUUGCUUCCUUGCUCACACUCGAGGGACAGGAGCUCCUCUGUCCACCCUUUGAGGAAAGGUCCCACUCUCGGGUCUGAUGGGACCCACCUCCCACACUGCCCCUGAAGCCAGGGUGGGACAAAGGGGGAAGGAGGGCCGUGGGCUGGGUUAUGCUGGUUACUGAGACCUGAGCCUCUGGCUGUGAACCCGGUGGCAGGCUGGCUAGUACAUGGUUAGCCACUGGCUCACCAAGAAACAAACACGCAAAAAGUAACAAUGACAACAGCAAAAAGAAAAAUGCAGCAUUUGCCGAUUCCUAUAGAGUCACCACCCCUGCUGUGGAUGGUUUUAGGCAGGCAGUGCGGCGUACCUGGACAUGCUGCUAGGGACAGAAAUAGACUGUUGGCUCUCAAGCCAGUGAGCAGUGACCCGUCCCCUGAUGUUGCUGGCACACAGAGGGCAGGAUGGAUGCUCAAACCAAAAGCAGAGCGAGGGGCAAGACGUGGACGUGGGGCCACUCUAUGUGAGCUGUGCCUGAGCUGCCCCAGGCUCUCCCCUGGUGCCUUGUUCAGGCUGGUCCUGCACAGUCCAGCCAAUGGCUGGUGGGUGUUUCCUGCCACUUGGCAACAGUGUGGACAGUGGAGAGAAAAUAACUCAGACUAAAAAGUCCAGGGUCAGGCUGGGGCCCCGGGACAAGUCCUUUAGCUGUUCUCAGUACCCUCAAGCAUAAAAGAUUACAGGAAUAACCUCUCCCCCAAAGGGCCAUGGCAAAGAUUCAGUGAGAUGCCAGCUGGGGCCAUGCUUUAAAAACCAUCAAGUGUUCUGUUUAUACAGCUGAUCUUUGAACAACUCAGGGGUUAGAGGUGCUGACCCCCACCCCCCACAUAGUUGAAAAUCUGAGUUUUGCUGUCUCUGCCUCAAAAACAAAGGAAUUGAUACAUGACUCACCCAAGG